UCCCACCUGACCCCAUGCCGAACUCAGAAGUGAAACGCCGUAGCGCCGAUGGUAGUGUGGGGUCUCCCCAUGCGAGAGUAGGGAACUGCUAGGCA
rnacentral:rRNA from 1 species